rnacentral:rRNA from 1 species
GAGUUUGAUCCUGGCUCAGAGUGAACGCUGGCGGUAGGCCUAACACAUGCAAGUCGAACGGCAGCACAGGAGAGCUUGCUCUCUGGGUGGCGAGUGGCGGACGGGUGAGGAAUACAUCGGAAUCUACUUUUUCGUGGGGGAUAACGUAGGGAAACUUACGCUAAUACCGCAUACGACCUACGGGUGAAAGCAGGGGAUCUUCGGACCUUGCGCGAUUGAAUGAGCCGAUGUCGGAUUAGCUAGUUGGCGGGGUAAAGGCCCACCAAGGCGACGAUCCGUAGCUGGUCUGAGAGGAUGAUCAGCCACACUGGAACUGAGACACGGUCCAGACUCCUACGGGAGGCAGCAGUGGGGAAUAUUGGACAAUGGGCGCAAGCCUGAUCCAGCCAUACCGCGUGGGUGAAGAAGGCCUUCGGGUUGUAAAGCCCUUUUGUUGGGAAAGAAAUCCAGCUGGCUAAUACCCGGUUGGGAUGACGGUACCCAAAGAAUAAGCACCGGCUAACUUCGUGCCAGCAGCCGCGGUA